rnacentral:rRNA from 1 species
UACGGAGGGUGCGAGCGUUGUCCGGAAUCACUGGGCGUAAAGGCGCGUAGGCGGCCUGAUAAGUAGGGGGUGAAAUCCUGCGGCUUAACCGCAGGGCUGCCUUCUAAACUGUCAGGCUUGAGCACAGUAGAGGCAGGUGGAAUUCCCGGUGUAGCGGUGGAAUGCGUAGAGAAUCGGGAAGAACAUCAGUGGCGAAGGCGGCCUGGCUGG